rnacentral:rRNA from 1 species
AACGAGUCCUUAACCUGCUAAAUAGCCAGGCUAGCUUUGGCCGGUCGCCGGCUUCUUAGAGGGACUAUCGGCUCAAGCCGAUGGAAGUUUGAGGCAAUAACAGGUUAACCUUCAUCACAGGCCUGUAAAAGCG